rnacentral:rRNA from 1 species
AUUGAACGCUGGCGGCAUGCCUUACACAUGCAAGUCGAACGGUAACAGGUUAAGCUGACGAGUGACGAACGGGUGAGUAAUAUAUCGGAACGUGCCCAGUCGUGGGGGAUAACGUAGCGAAAGCUACGCUAAUACCGCAUACGAUCUACGGAUGAAAGCGGGGGAUCGCAAGACCUCGCGCGAAUGGAGCGGCCGAUAUCAGAUUAGGUUGUUGGUGAGGUAAAAGCUCACCAAGCCUGCGAUCUGUAGCUGGUCUGAGAGGACGACCAGCCACGCUGGAACUGAGACACGGUCCAGACUCCUACGGGAGGCAGCAGUGGGGAAUUUUGGACAAUGGACGCAAGUCUGAUCCAGCAAUGCCGCGUGCAGGACGAAGGCCUUCGGGUUGUAAACUGCUUUUGUACGGAACGAAACGGUGAGCUCUAAUACAGUUUGCUAAUGACGGUACCGUAAGAAUAAGCACCGGCUAACUACGUGCCAGCCGCCGCGGUAA